rnacentral:lncRNA from 1 species
GAGAUGGAGAUCCUGUUGAGCUCGAUGAGAAUAAUGAAGAUCUGAUCACCUAUAUAGAUAUGAUACAGAGGUCUGACUCUGAUAAAUGACUUGGAAUCAUAAAAUCCAAAAUGGAGUCCAUGAAGAUCAACGAUGUAUGGACAUUAAUUGAUCCAUUUGAUGGGGUUAAACUCAUAGGGUGUAAGUGGGUCUUCAAAAGGAAGAGAGGCAU